rnacentral:lncRNA from 1 species
UCAAUUUCAAAUAUGUCCCUUCUUCCUAAUUAGCAAAAUUUAUGGUUUAUACUUUAUGGAAAAAGAUAAGAGCAAUUUACUAGUAUAAGAUAAAAUGAAUCAUUUAUUUUAUUAAACUCAUAUUGGGUCCUUACAAGAGUGAGUUGAUAUAUAUACUCAAUAAACUAAAAGAUAAACCUGAAGUGCAUGUAGCUCAUUGAAAAACCCAACAACAAAAAUGCAUCAAUUGCAUUCUCAUCUUGUUUUGCGCUUAUUAUAAUGUAUGGUCUGAAACAAAUGGCUGCAACUUCCCAGAUAGGAAUUGAGCCUGUUUCGACUCACCGAGUUGCCGUGUCAGCUCUCUCUCUUCACCUCCCUCCUCCCUCUGCCCUCUGUCCUCUUCUUCAAUGCUAUCUCCACUCUCCAAUACCCUCUCCGCUUCCACUCACCGGCUCAAAUUUCUCUGGUUGUUCACCAAGUCAGAGCCUCCUCAGUCGAUGCUCCAUCUUCAUCAGGUCCUCUCUAUAUCCACCUGCAAUAUCUUAUGCGCUAGUUGCUAGUACUUCAAAUGCACUCUCUCUAUUUGACAAUUUAGAACUUUUGUGGAGUGUCCGCUAACUAAAUUUUUGUUAUAAGCAGACAAUGUGUUUAAAAUAACAUUUACCAAGAGUUUUGAAGUGAAUAUUAAUGAAAUUAGGUGGAGAAUCUUGUGAUUGCAAGUGGAAGUAGUAAGUCCAUUAGAAUAACUGAAAAGUUUAUAUAGGUAGCAGGAUUAAUUAGUUUAGUGAGGGGUAAUCUGUUACGAUCAGAAGGUCUCUAAGAAAACCAGCAAAGAAUCCUUGGUAUUUCGAAGUCAACAACAUGGAAAACAAGGGAAAUUGAGCAAGUCGCAAUCCUACAAGACCUCGUCAAGCUAUCAUCUUCUUUUGAUUUUAUGUUAUCCUUUUUAAUGUUAGAAUUGUUAUUUUACCUCCACUAUCCGUUGUGCUCUUGAAUAACAAGAACAAGUUGCUGUAAUUUUUUUGUUUAAGCUUUAUUAGAUUAUGAAUAAAGCAAGUUUCAUUUUACAACAAAUCCUUGUGGUAAUUCUAGCCCUAAAUAGAAACUGAUUCACUUUAAAUUCUUCUUGGUUCUGACCGGGACCUAACAAUUGGUAUUAGAGUCAUGACAGCUAAUAAAGAGAGAAUUGAGAACCUGGAAGCAAGCAUGGGUGGGGUAUAGGACCACCUGAGCCAAAUAGAAACUGGGCUGGCCGAUAGGAUCCAUCAACCUGAAGACACCAUUUGGCGAUUGGUGAAAUCCAUGGUGCUAACCCAAGAAGGUGUCAGUAGCAAUACCAAAGAACUGAUCAAGACCACCACAUUAGAUCCACGAAGAAGAACCCGAACAAACUAAAGGUGGGUCGCCAACUAUUUUAUUCAAAGCUUGCGAAGCUUAAGUUCUCUACCUAUUCUGGUGAUGAUAUGACAGAAUGGUUCAACUGCAUAGAAUAGUUCUUCAACUACCAAGGGACGACUUUCGAUCAGAAAAUACAGCUUGCCUCCUUCCACCUGUAGGGUGAAGCCAACUAGUGGUGGCAGUGGCUUCAUCAGGCUUACAA